rnacentral:rRNA from 1 species
UACGUAGGGGGCAAGCGUUGUCCGGAUUUAUUGGGCGUAAAGAGCUCGUAGGCGGCUGUUCGCGUCGGAUGUGAAAGCUCAGGGCUCAACCCUGAGAGGCCAUUCGAUACGGGAUAGCUAGAGGUAGGUAGGGGGAGAUCGGAAUUCCUGGUGUAGCGGUGAAAUGCGCAGAUAUCAGGAGGAACACCGAUGGCGAAGGCAGAUCUCUGGGCCUUACCUGACGCUGAGACGCGAAAGCGUGGGGAGCAAACAGG